rnacentral:rRNA from 1 species
GACGUAGGAUGCAAGCGUUGUCCGGAUUUAUUGGGCGUAAAGAGUUCGUAGGCGGUUCGUUAAGUCUGAUGUUAAAGAUCGGGGCUCAACCCUGGGAGUGCAUUGGAUACUGGCGAACUGGAGUGCGGUAGAGGCUAGUGGAAUUCCCAGUGUAGCGGUGAAAUGCGUAGAUAUUGGGAAGAACACCAGUGGCGAAGGCGACUUACUGGACUGUAACUGACGCUGAGGCAUGAAAGCGUGGGGAGCAAACAGG